UACGUAGGGGGCAAGCGUUGUUCGGAAUUACUGGGCGUAAAGGGCGCGUAGGCGGUCAGCACAAGUCAGUUGUGAAAUCUCCGGGCUUAACUCGGAAAGGUCAACUGAUACUGUGCGACUAGAGUGCAGAAGGGGCAACUGGAAUUCUCGGUGUAGCGGAUGAAAUGCGUAGAUAUCGAGAGGAACACCUGCGGCGAAGGCGGGUUGCGUGGGCUGACACUGACGCUGAUGCGCGAAAGCCAGGGAGGCGAACGGG
rnacentral:rRNA from 1 species